rfam:Mustela putorius furo unplaced genomic scaffold scaffold00158, whole genome shotgun sequence.
UCAAAGGUUUUUCUAAAAACCAUUUCUCUGGUUGAAGAAAUUCCUUU